rnacentral:lncRNA from 1 species
GCGGGACCCCAACUCCAGACCGGGCGGGGUGACUCGGCAGCCCCGAGGUCUGAAGGACUGGAAGAGCGAUCGGGUCCCGGAUGUGUGGUUAAAGAGCACCACAUUCACCCCGAAAGACUGGAGGUUUGCAGACCGGCAGGAGGCCCCUGGGGCCGGGCGUGGUCUCUGGACUAUUUUAAUGGGCCUUUAUGUCAGUCAUCCUCUGUGGGUACUUUUAGUUCUGCUGAAGAAUUUACAAAGUGUUUUCUACGGCAAGAGUUCUUAAAAAGGAAUGGUCACUUCUGCACCUUAGAAGUGCUGCCGAAGGAAGGGCCUGGCAGGACGCAAGCACCUUGAUAUUGGACCACCAGCUUCCGGAACUGAGAGCUGACUUCUCUUGUCUCAGUCUGUGGUAUUCUGUGAGAGCAACAUAAAAUGGACUGAGACCCAGGCACUACUCGUGAUUCUUGCUUGAUCUUUCCCCAUGGC